rnacentral:rRNA from 1 species
GAUGAACGCUGGCGGCGUGCCUAAUACAUGCAAGUCGAGCGAACGGACGAGAAGCUUGCUUCUCUGAUGUUAGCGGCGGACGGGUGAGUAACACGUGGAUAACUUACCUAUAAGACUGGGAUAACCUCGGGAAACCGGAGCUAAUACCGGAUAAUAUUUUGAACCGCAUGGUUCAAAAGUGAAAGACGGUCUUGCUGUCACUUAUAGAUGGAUCCGCGCUGCAUUAGCUAGUUGGUAAGGUAACGGCUUACCGAGGCAACGAUCCAUAGCCGACCUGAGAGGGUGAUCGGCCACACUGGAACUGAGACACGGUCCAGACUCCUACGGGAGGCAGCAGUAGGGAAUCUUCCGCAAAGGGCGAAAGCCUGACGGAGCAACGCCGCGUGGGUGAUGAAGGUCUUCGGAUCGUAAAACUCUGUUAUUAGGGAAGAACAUAUGUGUAAGUAACUGUGCACAUCUUGACGGUACCUAAUCAGAAAGCCACGGCUAACUACGUG